CACGUAGGCACCAAGCGUUGUCCGGAUUUAUUGGGCGUAAAGAGCGUGUAGGCGGCCAGGUAGGUCUGCUGUGAAAACUCGAGGCUUAACCUCGAGAUGUCGGCGGAAACCAUCUGGCUAGAGUCCGGAAGAGGAGAGUGGAAUUCCUGGUGUAGCGGUGAAAUGCGCAGAUAUCAGGAAGAACACCCAUGGCGAAGGCGGCUCUCUGGGACGGUACUGACGCUGAGACGCGAAAGCGUGGGGAGCGAACAGG
rnacentral:rRNA from 1 species